AACCCUAGCAGCUUCAUUUCUCUCCUCUCCCUUCUCUUCUCCCAUCUGUGCCGCUACAACUCUCUCUUCUCUCUAAUCCGCCAUGGAUCUCUUUGAUCCUUCUUUUCAUUUUCACCACCGGUAAAGGUGGUGGCUUUCCAAAGCCAAACUAAUGGCUUUUGGAAAGCCACCAAACUUCCUUUCAAAUGAACCUUUCUCUCCUCUUUAAAAGGGAGUCUUCUUCCUCAGCCAAAAUGACAGUAUGCAUACAAAUCUUCUAUCUCCCUAAAAGUUCUGAGUGAACGGCAUCUUUUAGGUCUUUGUGAUUGAUCUCAGUGAUUUGUUGGUGACGUUUGUUUGGUGGAGUAACCGUGGGUGAGAUCUGUGGUGAUCGACGUCUCUGUGACCUUGCUUGGUGCAAUAUCUGUUGGAUCUGGUUCUAUCUGAGCCUAUUUCUCAAAUCAUAUUUGUUAUAUCUUUUUUGUUAUCAUUUUUUCUGUAUUAUUCUUUUAUUUGGGCUUGUAACUAUAAAGAGUUUCGUACUCUAUAUUCACCUGUAAUAGUUGGAUAGGUUGGUUGUGAAAGAGAUAUCACUGAGGGAUUUCAACACUACAGUGGUAUCAGAGCCACUACUCUGAUCCUUCAUCCCGUCGUUGGUGGUGAUUCAUGACUAUCGGUGUUCGAAAAGUGAUACAAAAAGUGAGAGAACGGGCAGUGGAUGUCGCGUGUUGUUCCAAAAAAUGAUAGAGGAACAACAAAUCCAGCAACCUCCAGCUGAUCUUCCGGAACCUAACGAUGAGAUCGACGACGGUACAGACGCUGCCGACAGAGAAGCCGA